AAAGUACUCCCUCCGUCCCAAAAUUCUUGUCUUAGAUUUUUCUAGAUAUGGAUGUAUCAAGUCACAUUUUAGUAUUAGAUACAUCCAUAUCUAGACAAAUCUAAGACAAGAAAUUUGGGACAGAGGGAGUAGUUG
rnacentral:pre_miRNA from 1 species